GAUUAGCCAUGCAUGUCUAAGUACACACUCUCGAAUAGUGAAACCGCAAAAGGCUCAGUAUAUCAGUUAUGAUUUAUUAGAUCGUAUACAUAGUUACAUGGAUAACUGUGGUAAUUCUAGAGCUAAUACAUGCAAAUAAUCACGGACCGCAAGGAACGUGUGCUUUUAUUAGAUUAAAAUCAAUCGAUACAUUAAGGUAUAUUUAUAUACUGUAUCGUUUAUAAGAUGAAUCUGAAUAACAUGUAGAUCGCAUGGUCCUGUACCGGCGAUAGAUCUUUCAAAUGUCUGCCCUAUCAACUAUUGAUGGUAGUAUCUAGGACUACCAUGGUUGCAACGGGUAACGGGGAAUCAGGGUUCGAUUCCGGAGAGGGAGCCUGAGAAACGGCUACCACAUCUAAGGAAGGCAGCAGGCGCGUAAAUUACCCAAUCCCAGCACGGGGAGGUAGUGACGAAAAAUAACAAUACAGGACUCAAUCCGAGGCCCUGUAAUUGGAAUGAGUACACUUUAAAUCCUUUAACAAGGAACAAUUGGAGGGCAAGUCUGGUGCCAGCAGCCGCGGUAAUUCCAGCUCCAAUAGCGUAUAUUAAAGUUGUUGCGGUUAAAACGUUCGUAGUUGAACUUGUGUCAAGCACAGGUGGUACACCGUAACUGGGUUCGUACAUCAUCUUGAUGCUAUGACGUAUUACUGUAGUGGUUUAAGCGUAAGUUUAUCCACGUAAUAAAUCUAAAUUAGUGCUCUUUACCGAGUGCUGGUUUAGAACAGUACAAUUACUUUGAACAAAUUAGAGUGCUUAAAGCAGGCCAUUUGUGCCUAAAUAUUCUCUGCAUGGAAUAAUGGAAUAAGACGUCUGUUCUAUUUUCAAUUGGUUUUUUAGAUCAAGACGUAAUGAUUAAUAGAAGCAGUUUGGGGGGCAUUAGUAUUACGGGCGCGAGAG
rnacentral:rRNA from 1 species